rfam:Spirochaetes bacterium RBG_13_68_11 RBG_13_scaffold_18908, whole genome shotgun sequence.
GCCGCUGUAGCUCAGGUGGUAGAGCAGUGGACUGAAAAUCCACGUGUCAUCAGUUCGACUCUGAUCGGCGGCA